CCCUUAGAUGUCCUGGGCUGUACGCGCGCUACACUGAUGUGUCCAGUAAGCACCUAACCUCUUCCGAAAGGAACGGGUAACCUUUGCAAAGCACAUCGUGAUGGGGAUAGAUUAUUGCAAUUAUUAGUCUUGAACGAGGAAUUCCUAGUAAGCACAAGUCAUCAGCUUGUGUUGAUUACGUCCCUGCCCUUUGUACACACCGCCCGUCGCUCCUACCGAUUGAAUGUUCCGGUGAGCUCUUCGGACUGCGCGGUCUGCAGUUUCUGCGUUCCGUGCGGAAAGUUGCGCAAACCUUAACAUUUAGAGGAAGGAGAAGUCGUAACA
rnacentral:rRNA from 1 species